GACGAACGCUGGCGGCGUGCUUAACACAUGCAAGUCGAGCGAGAGACUUCGGUCUCUAGCGGCGGACGGGUGAGUAACACGUGGGUAACCUGCCUCAAAGGGGGGGAUAGCCUCCCGAAAGGGAGAUUAAUACCGCAUAAUAUCAUAUCUUCGCAUGAAGGAAUGAUUAAAGGAGUAAUCCGCUUUGAGAUGGACCCGCAGCGCAUGAGCUAGUUGGAGGGGUAACGGCUCAACAAGGCGACGAUGCGUAGCCGACCUGAGAGGGUGAUCGGCCACAUUGGAACUGAGACACGGUCCAGACUCCUACGGGAGGCAGCAGUGGGGAAUAUUGCACAAUGGGCGAAAGCCUGAUGCAGCAACGCCGCGUGAGUGAAGAAGGUCUUCGGAUUGUAAAGCUCUGUCUUUUGGGACGAAAAAUGACGGUACCAAAGGAGGAAGCCACGGCUAACUACGUGCCAGCCGCCGCCGUAA
rnacentral:rRNA from 1 species